rnacentral:rRNA from 1 species
CCUACGGGAGGCAGCAGUGAGGAAUAUUGGUCAAUGGACGAGAGUCUGAACCAGCCAAGUAGCGUGAAGGAUGACUGCCCUAUGGGUUGUAAACUUCUUUUAUCUGGGAAUAAAAUGUUCCACGUGUCGGAUUUUGUAUGUACCAUAUGAAUAAGCAUCGGCUAACUCCGUGCCAGCAGCCGCGGUAAUACGGAGGAUACGAGCGUUAUCCGGAUUUAUUGGGUUUAAAGGGUGCGUAGGUGGUUUGUUAAGUCAGUUGUGAAAGGUUGCGGCUCAACCGUAAGAUGGCAGUUGAAACUGGCAGUCUUGAGUAGAGUAGAGGUAGGCGGAAUGCGUGGUGUAGCGGUGAAAUGCUUAGAUAUCGCGAAGAACUCCGAUUGCGAAGGCAGCUCACUGGACUGCAACUGACACUGAGGCUCGAAAGUGUGGGUAUCGAACAGGAUUAGAUACCCUAGUAGUC